rnacentral:rRNA from 1 species
UACAGAGGGGGCAAGCGUUGUUCGGAAUUACUGGGCGUAAAGGGCGCGUAGGCGGCCUGUUAAGUCGGACGUGAAAUCCCUCGGCUCAACCGGGGAACUGCGUCCGAUACUGGCGGGCUUGAAUUCGGGAGAGGGAUGUGGAAUUCCAGGUGUAGCGGUGAAAUGCGUAGAUAUUGGGAAGAACACCAGUGGCGAAGGCGGUUCUCUGGGACGGUACUGACGCUGAGACGCGAAAGCGUGGGGAGCGAACAGG